GCACAGUAAAAUUAUAUGAAACAACCUUAACGAUCACAAUGGUGGUUACGGUGGGUGAUAUCCCCCAGGUGAAAAUCUGAACUGGAUUCCGAAGUGGUUCCAUUUGUAUGCCAAAGUGGUUUGAAGUGGAGUAAACCGUCUCUGGUUCAGAGUAAAGUGCUUCCACUUGAUUGCCAAGUGGUUUCCAACUGUUUGUUGGGUCCAUAUACCAGAAACAUUCGCGCAGAGUACCGGAAUCGAACUUUGCACAAUUUUCACUUGAGUUUGAAACCGAAACUUUAAUGGCCUCGUCGUCGACACGAGGAGCAAGACCGAGCGCCAUCUGCAUCAGUACGUGUUUUGAAAUGUCGUUGCUGUUGGUCGUCGGGCUCGUCGGUUCGCAGUUUUCGUCUUUCAACUCUUCAAAACGGGCAAAAACGUGAAUAUUUAGAAUCUCAGUCGUCAGGCACUGCAUUAUGUACAACUGCUUGUGUUACAACUUCUGCACCAGCUCAGUCGGAAGAAACUACAAGCGAUGCGCAGGACUGCAAUUACGCUGCUUGCAGUUUGUCAUACAAAUGGAGGAGACUUGCAGGAUGCUUACGAAUCAUACAGAACAAGGGCCAGCUACUGAAAAGAGUUUUUCUACAGGUUUUCUCACUGAAACUGAAUUCCCAGUUUAUCGCUUCAAUAUGCACUACGUUUAUGUAAUUUUGUCUUCGGAUGAGGCAAGAAUGGAUCCAGUCUCAUCUGCCACGAGGUGUCCUUCAGAAUGAGGUAGGAGCAGCAACACUUCUUACUGGCUAUCAUGCUGAUAUAAAUAUAAACUGUACUUUUUGCACGAAACAGGAUUGCAGAUACUAAAGUAGUAAUGUGGGUAGUUGGUGCUGACGGCUCAUCUCAAAGCAGCAACACAAGACAAGGACGACGAGUGAAUAAGCAAUGCGGAGAAAGGUCACUUGCGCCACUCUCACUGCACCGCCGAAUUUUAUGGCAAGUCGAGUCCUUUCCUUCCAGUUAUGCUACUGUCAUAAUGAACGCCACUUUGCCAGUGCUUAAGUUUUUUCAGUAAGCAAAGUUGCAAAGCAAAGUUCAGUAAAGUCAGUUGUGACUUGGAUAGGUGAGCAUGCGGAUCUGGCUAGUUCUAGACGAGGGUAUUAUAGCUGUUGGCAUUUCAGUAUGAAGAACCCCUUGGCUCGGCCUCACAUAUGCAGUGCUGUUCCGUGAAACGUAGCCAGUACUCAACGUGUUCUUUGUGUGGAUUAUGGCCGUCGCACAAGAGGAAGAUUUUGAAGUAGCCGGGCGCUGAGGAGCGUGACGUUGCGGGCAACGAGCACGAGCUGUGCAAUGACUGCGACGAGCUUUAUGUGUGGUCUCAUCUUGCAUCUGACCCAAUAUGCCAUUAAGCGAAACAGAAAACUUCGUGCCACUAUUAUGUUUGAAGUGGACACUGCGACAAAAAAGGCGGCUACGCCACGGCAAAGAACUUGCAUCAAAGGAAUCAAGAACCGAAGAUGCAUCUCGCCAUUAAAUCGAGAACUAUAGGGUACUGUGUGCGACUAAGUUAAGAGAUAAACAUUUUUAAGUGCAAUAUCAAGAGGUGCCGAAGAUGUGUUCCAAUAUCAUCCAGAUAAACGUGUGUGACAGUGCGACUAAGUCAAGCCAAGACUGAAACAUUUUUAAGUGCAGUAUCAAGAGACGCCAAAUAAUCUGCAUCAAAACAAUCGGCAGCUGAAGAUGUGUCUCAACAUUAAAUCAAGAGAACCAGGCAACGGUGUGUGACUAAGUCAAGUCAAAGUGAAACAUUUUUAAGUACAAUAUAAAGAGUGAAAGUGUUUUCGUAUUGUGUAGCAUAAAAUAAAGAACUUUUGGAGUCUUGUUA